rnacentral:rRNA from 1 species
AACGAACGCUGGCGGCAUGCCUAACACAUGCAAGUCGAACGAGACCUUCGGGUCUAGUGGCGCACGGGUGCGUAACGCGUGGGAACCUGCCCUUAGGUUCGGAAUAACUCCCCGAAAGGGUGCUAAUACCGGAUAAUGUCUUCGGACCAAAGAUUUAUCGCCUUUGGAUGGGCCCGCGUUGGAUUAGCUAGUUGGUAGGGUAAAAGCCUACCAAGGCGACGAUCCAUAGCUGGUCUGAGAGGAUGAUCAGCCACACUGGGACUGAGACACGGCCCAGACUCCUACGGGAGGCAGCAGUGGGGAAUAUUGGACAAUGGGCGAAAGCCUGAUCCAGCAAUGCCGCGUGAGUGAUGAAGGCCUUAGGGUUGUAAAGCUCUUUUACCCGGGAUGAUAAUGACAGUACCGGGAGAAUAAGCUCCGGCUAACUCCGUG